rnacentral:rRNA from 1 species
AGCCGAGCGGUAGAGAUUCUUCGGAAUCUUGAGAGCGGCGUACGGGUGCGGAACACGUGUGCAACCUACCUUUAUCAGGGGGAUAGCCUUUCGAAAGGAAGAUUAAUACCCCAUAAUAUAUUGAAUGGCAUCAUUUAAUAUUGAAAACUCCGGUGGAUAGAGAUGGGCACGCGCAAGAUUAGAUAGUUGGUAGGGUAACGGCCUACCAAGUCAGUGAUCUUUAGGGGGCCUGAGAGGGUGAUCCCCCACACUGGUACUGAGACACGGACCAGACUCCUACGGGAGGCAGCAGUGAGGAAUAUUGGACAAUGGGUGAGAGCCUGAUCCAGCCAUCCCGCGUGAAGGACGACGGCCCUAUGGGUUGUAAACUUCUUUUGUAUAGGGAUAAACCUACUCUCGUGAGAGUAGCUGAAGGUACUAUACGAAUAAGCACCGGCUAACUCCGUGCCAGCAGCCGCGGUAAUACGGAGGGUGCAAGCGUUAUCCGGAUUUAUUGGGUUUAAAGGGUCCGUAGGCGGAUCUGUAAGUCAGUGGUGAAAUCUCAUAGCUUAACUAUGAAACUGCCAUUGAUACUGCAGGUCUUGAGUAAAGUAGAAGUGGCUGGAAUAAGUAGUGUAGCGGUGAAAUGCAUAGAUAUUACUUAGAACACCAAUUGCGAAGGCAGGUCACUAUGUUUUAACUGACGCUGAUGGACGAAAGCGUGGGGAGCGAACAGGAUUAGAUACCCUGGUAGUCCACGCCGUAAACGAUGCUAACUCGUUUUUGGGUCUUCGGAUUCAGAGACUAAGCGAAAGUGAUAAGUUAGCCACCUGGGGAGUACGUUCGCAAGAAUGAAACUCAAAGGAAUUGACGGGGGCCCGCACAAGCGGUGGAUUAUGUGGUUUAAUUCGAUGAUACGCGAGGAACCUUACCAAGGCUUAAAUGGGAAUUGACAGGUUUAGAAAUAGACUUUUCUUCGGACAAUUUUCAAGGUGCUGCAUGGUUGUCGUCAGCUCGUGCCG